GGCAAAGACACAGGACCAAAACAGUCCUCGGCAUCACCACUUAUGGGAAUGACAUCAAAGCACAGCAAAGACAGAGACACAACUCUUAAUUAGCUCUGUCUUACUUAACAAAGGUGAUAAAGCCCAACAGAGAGGAGAAAGGAGCUGCUUCAUACAGUGCAGAGUAUUCCAGAGAGCUGCAACAACACAACUUCACACACCCAUCCAAACAGGAUUUCACAUCUGCCCAACAGGAACUUUGCCUCAGAUUCCAAUUUACUCCAUAAUGGAUUACAUGGCAGAGAUUCAUUCAGCUGAUUUCCAUAAUGACAACAGUAGCUGAAAAGAAGUACUUGCCUGCUAAAUGGAAAUGUGACAUCAAUAUUAAGGGCUUGGGCACUUGAAAAAUUCAGUUACUCUCAGGAAAGAAAGAACUUCAAUUUCACUGGGACCUCCCCUCUGGCUCUUGACAUUUUCAGAAACCUGUGUGACAAUACCAUUCGGGUCAGCCCAGACAUGGAAAUUAUGCUAAGCCUAAACCAGAUCAAUUUUAGUUUGUAGCUCUCAGAUAAUGACUUUGUGCUCAAGGCAUUUUACAGACACACUAGCAAAACAAGAUAUCUACCUUCAGAGUAUCAGACUGGUAGUACUAAGAAAACCCUGGCUGGAAAACAGGUUGGUAAACUGAUUAAAGAGCACCAGAGGGUAGAGAGGCAACUGGUUGUUUUAUUCUGCUCACAAGGACCAGUAUCUUUGUGCCAGGUAGGAAAGAAAUUAUCCUGUGAGCUGUAAAUAGACAACUUUCCUGGUUUAGAUACAAACAUCUGCGAGUAGCAGGCACAGAGAAACUGAAAACAAAUAUUUAUUAGAUAAUUACCAGAGUGCAAGCCUAAUGUUUUAUGGGACUUUUGUUUUCUAAACAUUAAUUCUCCAAGGAGAAAAAGGAUUAAGAUGAUGCCAAAUGCCACUAAUAAGCCACUGCUGAAAUGUUUUA